rnacentral:SRP_RNA from 1 species
GCCAGGUGGAGUGGUGCGUGCACCUGUAGUCCCAGCUACUCAGGAGGCCGAGGUGGGAGGAUCACGUGAGCCCAGGAGUUCGGGGCUGUAGUGCGCUAUGCCCAUCAGGUGUCCACACUAAGUUCAGCAUCAAUAUGGUGACCUCCCAGGAACGGGGAACCAUCAGGUUGCCUAAGGAGGGGUGAACUGGCCUGGGUCAAAAACACAGCAGGUCAGAACUCCCAUGCUGCUCAGUAGGGGGAUCGCUCUCUGCGUAGCCGCUGCACUCCAGCCUGGGCACCAUAGUGACAUCCCAUCUCU